rnacentral:lncRNA from 1 species
GGUCUAUUCCUAAUUUUAUUGUUAUCAUAAUCAAUUUUAACCUAUAUAAAGUUUACCUAUGGUACAGAAUAGUUAAGCAUAGAAAGUAAGACAACUUUGUUUUUAUAAGUUUCUGUGAUCAUUUUUACAAUCUUAACUAUAAACUAAAUACAAGUUAUAUGAACAGAUAUAUCAGUUUUCAGGACUUUUUUUUUUCAGGAUUUAUCCAACGUACUUAGUGAAAAAAAUGAUACAAAAUUAACAUGUAACAAAACUAUCUUUAUAUACACAGAAGUAUUUCUAGAUUGAAAAUGGAUAAAAGACAAUCAAUGAACACACUCCUCUAUGCUAUUAAUAAGCCUAUUCUACCUCCUUUAGGAUACUGUUCCAUCAAAUAUUGUCAUUUAUAUCCUCAUAUCAUUGAUCAUCCUCAUAUCAACACAAUAUAUAUCCUGUCAUAAAUAUGAUCAAUU